CCAGCAGCCGCGGUAAUACGGAGGGUGCAAGCGUUAAUCGGAAUUACUGGGCGUAAAGCGCGCGUAGGCGGUUAAAUAAGUCAGAUGUGAAAGCCCCGGGCUCAACCUGGGAACUGCAUUUGAAACUGUUUAGCUAGAGUGUGGUAGAGGAGAGUGGAAUUUCAGGUGUAGCGGUGAAAUGCGUAGAUAUCUGAAGGAACAUCAGUGGCGAAGGCGGCUCUCUGGACCAACACUGACGCUGAGGUGCGAAAGCGUGGGUAGCAAAAGGGAUUAGAUACCCCAGUAGUCGGCGGGGGCGGGCGGGACGGGCGCG
rnacentral:rRNA from 1 species